CCCCCACUGUGGUACAAGGGAGCCCACACACAGCUGGCCCCCCACUGUGGUGCACGGGAGCCCACACACAGCUGGCCCCCACUGUGGUGCACGGGAGCCCACACACAGCUGGCCCCCACUGUGGUGCACGGGAGCCCACACACAGCUGGCCCCCACUGUGGUGCACGGGAGCCCACACACAGCUGGCCCCCACUGUGGUGCACGGGAGCCCACACACAGCUGGCCUCCACUGUGGUGCACGGGAGCCCACACACUGGACGUACAGACUCCAUCCAGUCCUGCAGCACUUACAGGCUGGUAACUUUACCUCCUGAGCCUGUUUCUUCACCAGUGAAGCCACUGUCCUGCAAUGAAGAACUCCUGGAGGUCCUCUUUGACAGGAGACAAGGCAUUCUAACCCGGCACCCAGCAAAGGCUAGCAAACCCAUAGAUGGGCUGAGAACCCUGGAGUUUUCUCCCAGGGUCUUCCUCUCCCAAAUGACAGCUCACCUCGUUCACAUCAUGGCUGCGCAUGCACUGAAGUUGCUGGCACCGCAUAGACCUUCACCACCCACGAGAGGAGGAAUGCUUGGCAAUGUGGUCUGCAGUCGCCCCUGCCUGGUCCAGAUUGCCUGUGGAAUUCUGCUGCUCCCAGAAGCAGGUCUGCCCGAGGUCCUAAGGCCCCACCCAUGGCAGGUGUAGCUUCUGCAUGCUGUUCUGUGCUGAGUAGACCGGUCUUAUGGUAUGGUCAUAGGGUCCCACACCUCAGGGUCAGGGCCACUCAGGCUUGUCUCCGCCCCCAGAGAAGCCAUUCCCCACUAGAGAGAAGCUUGAGCCUAUUGUCACUUGCUCCCCCUACUAUGACAAUCAAGCCAGCUUGGGACUUUGCAUUGCAGACAGCCCUCCAGAUAGCCCAAAGAGGGACCUUCCUCCAGCCUGGGCUCAGCAAGUGGGUGCCAGGACGAGAGAGGGGUUAGACCUGGGAAACAUGACUUUCAAACCGUACACUGCUAGGACUGUGCACCUACCCGCCGAUAAAACCCAACAUGUACAUGGCAGUUUACAGAUUGUGAGGCUCUGUGGGACAUGUGUACAAUUACUGCAUAUAAAAUAUUCACCAAAAAGCCGGGUGUGGCAGCUCAUGCCUGUAAUCUUAACACUUGGGAGUCUGAGGCCAGACUGCUGUGAGUUCUAGGUCAACUUGGUCUCCAUAAUAUAGUCUCCACAGUACAUACCAGGCCAACUAGUGCAAGACUCUAUCUCAAAGAAACAAGCAAAACAAAAGCCGUGUACCUCGGCCUUGCACAGCUCAAGGGAUUGAGCUAAGUGGGGUAGCCAGGGGAUGAAGAAACGAUAAACACAGACAGACACACAGACGCAGAAAAGUUGGGAUCCAGUGGACUGGGCUCUGGUGGAGAAGGCAUAGCACCCAGAAGCUUGGCUUUUAACUGUAGACAAUCGAACAGGGAGGCGGGGUUAUUGUCUACACAUGAACAGGGAGGCGGGGUUAUCACAAACAGCUGAACGGGGAGGCGGGGUUAUCACACACAGCUGACCAGGGAGGCGGGGUUAUCACAUACAGCUGAACAGGGAGGCGGGGUUAUCACACACAGCUGAACGGGGAGGCGGGGUUAUCACAUACAGCUGACCAGGGAGGCGGGGUUAUCACACACAGCUGAACAGGGAGGCGGGGUUAUCACACACAGCUGAACAGGGAGGCGGGGUUAUCACAUACAGCUGAACAGGGAGGCGGGGUUAUCACACACAGCUGAACGGGGAGGCGGGGUUAUCACAAACAGCUGACCAGGGAGGCGGGGUUAUCGCAUACAGCUGAACAGGGAGGCGGGGUUAUCGCAUACAGCUGAACGGGGAGGCGGGGUUAUCACACACAGCUGAA
rnacentral:lncRNA from 1 species